GAAUGGGAUGAUGAUUGUAUGUUUCCCUAUUGGUUCGAUUACCUGGAUGAUGGCAUUAUUGUAUUAGCUCUAUUUGAUCAUUC